rnacentral:rRNA from 1 species
UUCUGGCUCAGGAUGAACGCUGGCGGCGUGCUUAACACAUGCAAGUCGAACGGAGCUUAGAAGGAAGCUUGCUUUCAUUUAAGCUUAGUGGCGGACGGGUGAGUAACGCGUGAGUAACCUGCCCUUGAGAGGGGAAUAACAUCGAGAAAUCGGUGCUAAUACCGCAUAAUGUCGGAGUACCGCAUGACAUUCCGACCAAAGAUUUUAUCGCUCAAGGAUGGACUCGCGUCCGAUUAGCUGGUUGGUGAGGUAACGGCCCACCAAGGCUUCGAUCGGUAGCCGAACUGAGAGGUUGAUCGGCCACAUUGGGACUGAGACACGGCCCAGACUCCUACGGGAGGCAGCAGUGGGGAAUAUUGGGCAAUGGGCGCAAGCCUGACCCAGCAACGCCGCGUGAAGGAUGAAGGUCUUCGGAUUGUAAACUUCUUUGAUUGGGGAAGAAUAAAUGACCUACCCAAAGAACAAGCCACGGCUAACUACGUGCCAGCAGCAGC